GAUGAAGAACGUAGCGAAAUGCGAUAAGUAAUGCGAAUUGGAGAAUUCAGUGAAUCAUCGAAUCUUUGAACGCACAUUGCGCCCGCCAGUAUUCUGGCGGGCAUGCCUGUCUGAGCGUCGUUUCGACCCUCGCGCCCGGCUUCUGUCGGGGGCGGUGUUGGGGAUCGGCCACACCCUUCAGUGGGAGGCCGGCCCCUAAAUUCAGUGGCGACCACGCUGUAGCCUCCCCUGCGUAGUACUAAAACCACCUCGCAGGCGGAGAGCGGUGCGGCCCGCCGUAAAACCCCCCAACUUUUACAAGGUCGACCUCAGAUCAGGUAGGAAUACCCGCUGAACUUAAGCAUAUCAAUAAGCGGAGGA
rnacentral:misc_RNA from 1 species